AUUCAUUCCUGUAUUUCUUCAUCUCAAUAUGUUAAUGAGAUGUGUCAAUCAAAAAUAGGUAGGCGGCAUUUGACACACCAUUGGCUAAUCGUUUUCAACGCGUUGUAUUCGAUUAUGUUAGCCUUACAUCCAUCCUUGCUGUCAUGGACGACAUAAAAAGGGCAAUUGCCAGAGACUUGGCCAGGCUGGCCGAUCUCGUUGAAAACGAAAAUGUAUGUCCCGACUUCCUACUGUUCCGUGUAGAGGCUAUAAUGGCAAAUAUAGGACUUGUAGCUGCUGAAAUGGACACAGAGUUAGACCCACCUGUUCUUGAAAACUUGGAACGCGUUGCACACAAAAUAGGAGUCUCAAGUGACAGCACUAGCAGGAUCGCGGGACGACCUUUAUAUCCUUUGCCCAUCAGUGCCCUUGAGUAUACCUACUAUCGGGGUUAACAGCUGUUGACAUUGCUCGAUUGUUUGGAGUUAGCGAAAGAACAAUUCGGCGGAGGAUGGCCCACAACGGAAUAAGAGUCUCUGACUUGAACACUAAAAUGGAUGAUCAGCAGUUGGAUGCCAUGGUGACAGAGAUCCUACAACAUCACCCCAAUACAGGGUACAAAAUGAUGAUUGGCUAUCUCAACUCUCGGGGCAUAAAGAUUCAGAAACAACGUAUACAAGAGUCCAUGCGCCGUAUUGAUCCAGAGGGUGUUGUGGUGCGCACUCUCAUGUUGCAGACAGUGAGGCGCAGACGGUACUCUGUACCAGCUCCAAACAGUUUAUGACACAUAGAUGGAAACCAUAAACUAAUAAGAUGGCGCAUUGUUGUGCAUGGUGGUAUUGACGGAUUCAGUCGCCUCAUUGUUUACCUAAAUGCUGCCACCAAUAACCGUGCCUCAACCGUGCUGGAUAGCUUCAGACAAGCAGUCCAUCUCUAUGGUGUGCCAUCUUGUGUCAGAUCAGACAAAGGAGGAGAAAACAUUGAUGUGGCACACUACAUGUUGACCAGCAGAGGGGUAAACAGAAAUUCACACAUUUCUGGAAGAAGCGUACACAACCAAAGAAUUGAGCGCUUGUGGAGAGAUGUUUUUGGAGGGGUACUUGAUCUUUUCUACACCCACUUCUACAACCUGGAGCAUGAGGGCCUACUUUAUCCAGAUGAUGAAGUUCACCUCUAUGCACUGCACUGGAGCUUUCUUCCACACAUACAGAGGCACCUUCAGUUCAAAGAUGGCUGGAACCACCACCGACUCCGGACCGAGGGCAAUCAGUCACCUCACCAACUCUGGACUCGUCAUCAACUAGAGGCAGACCCCUUACAGGUCGAUGUAGAGUAUGGCAUCGACUGGGCAGGUCCAUUCAGGCCUCGUUGUCAAGGUGUCAUUAUACCUGAAGUGGAACUUCGGCGCCCACUGACUGAACAGGAAGUUGGGAGGCUGC